GCGUGUUCAAAUCUGACGUCAUUUACAUAAGUCCGCUGUGCGGUGAUUUCCUGACGUCACGCACAAAGGAGCCAAAGAGAGACGAUUAGACCUGCAUUCUGGAAGUAUGCUGUAGAGUGAGGAAGUCCCUCUGUCUCCUCCCAGGAAGAAAAACAUUUAUCCUUCCCUUUCGUCAUGAAAUGUCAUUAAGAACUUACGAGUAACUAGGGACAUUUCUUGGUUUUCUGUAGUCCUGCAUGUGAAUGCUCUGUGACAACACAAAGUCCGUCCAUGGAUCUCCCAACCACUGUGAUACGUUCUGUUGGACAUUUAUAGUCGUAUAAGUAGAAUUUGUGAUUCUCACGGUAGUGAGUACGAAUAUGGCCGCCUUGUAGUCUGGUAAGCGAUUACGAACGUUUCAAAUGUCUUUGCUGUCUCCGACGAACUACAAAGUCGGAGGAUGCUUAUAAAAGAAAAUCCAGAUUAGUCUUUUUCACGCUCUGAAAAUGCCAAAAAUGAGAUUUGUAAUUAUGAACGCAGAACUUUGUCGAACAUAACCUUAUCAGAGUUAAACUCGGAUGAGAUGACCCACAUUUUGGAAAAAAAAUAUAACUACUAUAAAUACUAUAGCUGACUGCUUCCACUUCGAAUUCUUCCUCUGAGGACUUUCAGACAUGAAAAAUGCAUGUUCCGGGAUAGCUGACGGGUCAAAUGGAUGUAUUCCUGUGGCUUUAAACCCUGUUACGCCGUCACCAGUGGUUCUGAUCUUCCCCAAGUUUUAGCAAGAAGUUGUCCGAAUUGCAGUCUGGUUAUUUUUCGCUGUCCGUUGGACGUCAUCCAAUUCCAAGCAGCUCUGAAUGUAAGACAACUACAUGGUAACGAAGUAGACAGACGGACGUGACCUCCAGGUAAGGCGUUAAUUCCUUUUCGCAGUUCCUACACAGUUAACACAGAGAGGUGCAGGGCAACUCAUCCGCAAUAAUGUGGGGCAUCUCACCCAAAGUGUCAGGUGGGAGGCCCCAGUUGAUAUCGCCAAGAAAAUGGUAAACUGUGAGAAAGGAACAUGUAACUUAUUCACUUGCCUUCGCUUUCACUAACUGACUUCACGAACGGGAAAAUGUUCACCCUCGGCAAUGACAGGUAACAGAUAUAAGUUUGUAUUCUGCUUGAAAUAUGCAAAAGAACAAUUGCAUAACUACUUCCUCCAGGCAACAGCAACACACUGAAUGCCAUAAUGAGCUACAAUGGCUUCUCCCGCGCAUAGACUUUGAUAUAUCGAAACCGGGGCAUCUCUACCGAUGGGGCGUCACACACGACUUUACC